AAGUAUCUCACCCAUUACUAUUUGGUUUCAGAGUAAAUAUCAAAUAAACUCACUUUCAGAUGUUAAAAUUUUUUAAUUAAAAAAACUAUCAAGGCUGGGCAUGGUGGCUCAUGCCUGUAAUACUAGCCCUUUGGGAAGCCAAGACGGGCGGAUCAAGAGGUCAGGAGAUUGAGGCCAAUAUGGUGAAACCUGAUCUCAUCUAAAAAUACAAAAAUUAGCCGGGCAUGGUGGCACGCUGCCUGUAAUCCCAGCUACUUGGGAGACUGAGGCAGGAGAAUCGCUUGAACCAGGGAGACGGAGGUUGCAGUGUGUGGAGAUUACGCCACUACACUCCAGCCUGGUGACACAGUGAGACUGUCUCAAAAAAAAAAACAACAAAAAACAAAAAACACACAACGAUCAAAAAAAUGUUUUUGACAUUUUCGCUUUACAGUUAUGUUUGGUGUGGUGUGUUGGUUCCCAGAUUUUCAAAUUUCAUGAGUAAGUAAAAUUUUAAAAUAAAUGUGGGAAAAAAACUUGGGAUACUGAUGUAGUGAUACUUAUAUUUACUCCAAAUAAAGAUAUUAAAAAACAGCAAUACACAACUGCCUACAAUUACUAUCUUUUAAAUAACAAAGACUAUUUCAACAUCCCCCAAAAGUAGGAAGGACAUAAGUUCAAAAUAAAGACCAUUUCUUUACAAAAAAAUCAUCUGUUCUCUCUGCCUUUGCCCCACUUCAGACUAACAGAAAUUGCAUACUAAGCUGAUUUGAGAUACGCCUGUCAAGUGGAAAUAACACCAGAAUAGGUGCUAGAAGACCAGAGUCUUGCUCCCAGUUUGAGCACAAUCAGAUACUACACAUCUGUUCUCAGCAAACCGGCCCCUGGGUUGUCUUCCUCUGUAAAAUGAAAGAAUUCUUGGCCUACCUAAAGUAUACUGUUGUGAAAUCAAAUGUAACUUGUAAUCACUUUAUAAUAUGCAGGAUAUUUAUAUUAAAAAUUUAGAUAACAUGUUUCCAUGUAACAAAAAUCAAACAGGUAAAUGGAUAGAUUUCAGUUAUAUAAUGUAUAAACAUGCAAACAUAAUGUAAACUUCUUCACAUUUAUAUUUAUUUCCAGAAACAAAUUUCUUUUAGGCUUAAAGAAGUACUUACUUUUCAUCUACUUCAAGAAAAACACACCCUGGGGUGUGUGUUGUGGUAAAGAUUCUUUUAUUCACUGGGAUUCGAGGAGCUAUGAAAAAAAAAGAGACUUAUUUAAAGCACUCUUCUUUCACACAAGACAAGCAGAAGGCCACACUGAAUGGGUCACCAGAAGAGAGAGGACUAGAAGAUUGCAUCUGCUGCGACCAUUCGUUCAGCCAUGCAGACCACGAAGGCAAUGACUACACAAGCAGCCAAGUCUCACUCUGUUGCCCAGGCUGGAGUGCAACAGCACAAUCUUGGCUCUGCAACCUCUGCCUCCCGGGUUCAAGCGGAUUCUUCUGCCUCAGCCUCCCAAGUAGCUGGGAUUAAAGAAUGACAUUCUGAAAUCCUGAUGGAGGAAAUCAGAUGAGAUCUGAGCUGCGCUACCCGGUAACUUGAGAAGAGGGAGUAAAGGAACUGCUGCUGGCAGAGAUGAGGCCAGAGUGGCCACGGAUUCAAGUUAUUAAAAAGCUGGGUGAUGAGACCAUAUUGGUUCAUUAGACUAUCUUCUUUCGUGUUAUGUUUGAAAAUUCUCAAAGUAAAAAGUUUUAAAAAUAAGUGAUAAACUUAAAUAAAACAUUUCAUGCAGAAGUCACAGCUCCCUGUGGCAUGGUCCCUGCUUCCCCAUCUUCUUCCAUCCUCGCUCCUUCCUCCGCUCCAGCCAUAGCAGCUCCGUGCCAUUCCUCCCACAGGCCAGGCAUGCCCCACCCCAGAGCCUCUGGACCUGCUGCUCCCUCUGCCUGGAACACACUUGCUCAGACAUUUGCCACCCUCAGAUACUGGUGUGGCUCACCCCCUGCCCUCCUUCUGGCUGCUGUUUCCAAUUAGGCUUCGUGAGCUCCUGGAUAACCCUGAAUACAACAGCAAUCUCCCACUUCCCAGAACUCCUGCUUUUUGCUUUACUGUCUACACAUAACUUAUCACCAGCCAACACAUAGGCAUCUGAAUAUGUGUUUAUUAUUGGUCU